UGGGGAAUAUUGCACAAUGGGCGCAAGCCUGAUGCAGCCAUGCCGCGUGUGUGAAGAAGGCCUUCGGGUUGUAAAGCACUUUCAGCGGGGAGGAAGGCGUUAAGGUUAAUAACCUUGGCGAUUGACGUUACCCGCAGAAGAAGCACCGGCUAACUCCGUGCCAGCAGCCGCGGUAAUACGGAGGGUGCAAGCGUUAAUCGGAAUUACUGGGCGUAAAGCGCACGCAGGCGGUCUGUCAAGUCGGAUGUGAAAUCCCCGGGCUCAACCUGGGAACUGCAUUCGAAACUGGCAGGCUAGAGUCUUGGAGAGGGGGGUAGAAUUCCAGGUGUGGCGGUGAAAUGCGUAGAGAUCUGGAGGAAUACCGGUGGCGAAGGCGGCCCCCUGGACAAAGAAUGACGCUCAGGUGCGAAAGAGUGGGGAGCAAACAGG
rnacentral:rRNA from 1 species